rnacentral:lncRNA from 1 species
UAUUUUUUUCCUUCAAAGUUACAUGCAUGAGACAUGCCUAAUACUAAUUUUCAUGAAACAAGAAACAUAAGUUGAUCCAAAAUAAAAUUCUAUAAAUUAUUCUAUUCCAAUAUUUGAAUUCUAUAGCUAAAUAUAUGUGAACAUGCAUCAUUACUCAAACAUAUAUUUUACCUUUUAUAUAGAAAUCUAACAUAUAUACAACCAAUAUUACUUCAACCAAGGACCUUUACCUAUAUAAAGAAGGGUGCCCAAGAGUGCAACUAAAGUAUGAUCAACCAUGUAGUGUAUCAUGCAUAUCAUUCCAUUUUGAAUA